rnacentral:rRNA from 1 species
AGCAGCCGCGGUAAUUCCAGCUCCAAUAGCGUAUAUUAAAGUUGUUGCAGUUAAAAAGCUCGUAGUUGAAUUUCGGGAUCAAUAUUUCGGUCAUGCCGUUGGUAUGCACUGUUAUCAUUGAUUUCUCACCUUCUAAAGAACCGUAAUGCCAUUAAUUUGGUGUUACGGGGAAUUAGGACUGUUACCUUGAAAAAUUAGAGUGUUUAAAGCAGGCUCACGCUUGAAUACAUUAGCAUGGAAUAAUGGAAUAGGACAUCCGAUUCUAUUUUGUUGGUUUCUAGGAUCGAUGUAAUGAUUAAUAGGGAUAGUUGGGGGCAUUAGUAUUCAAUUGUCAGAGGUGAAAUUCUUGGAUUUAUUGAAGACUAACUACUGCGAAAGCAUUUGCCAAGGAUGUUUUCAUUAAUCAAGAACGAAAGUUAGGGGAUCGAAGACGAUCAGAUACCGUCGUAGUCUUAACCAUAAACUAUGC